rnacentral:miRNA from 1 species
GUGUGAGUGUGUGUGUGUGUGUGUGUGUGCGCGCGUGCGUGCACGCGCAUGCGCGC